rnacentral:rRNA from 1 species
CCUACGGGAGGCAGCAGUGAGGAAUAUUGGUCAAUGGCCGGAAGGCUGAACCAGCCAAGCCGCGUGAAGGACGAAGGUGCCAAGCAUUGUAAACUUCUUUUGUCAAGGGACAAAAUCAGGCUCGAGAGCCUGACCGAGGGUACUUGAAGAAAAAGCAUCGGCUAACUCCGUGCCAGCAGCCGCGGUAAUACGGGGGAUGCGAACGUGAUCCGGAUUUAUUGGGGUAAAAGGGUGCGUAGGUGGGCUGUUAAGUCAGCGGUAAAAGCCCGGGGCUAAACCCCGGCGAGACGGUGAAACUGGCUGUCUUGAGUAGUCGAGAGGUAAGCGGAAUGCGCGGUGUAGCGGUGAAAUGCGUAGAUAUUGCGCAGAACUCCGAUUGCGAAGGCAGCAUACCGGCGGCGAUCUGACGCUGAGGCACGAAAGCGUGGGUAUCGAACAGGAUUAGAUACCCUAGUAGUC